UACGAGAGGCCCAAACGUUAUUCGGAAUUACUGGGCUUAAAGAGUUCGUAGGCGGCGCAACAAGUGGGGUGUGAAAGCCCUCGGCUCAACCGAGGAAUUGCGCUCCAAACUGUUGUGCUUGAGGGACCUAGAGGUGAGCGGAACUGAUGGUGGAGCGGUGAAAUGCGUAGAUAUCAGGAGGAACACCGAUGGCGAAGGCAGGUCUCUGGGCUGACACUGACGCUCAUGCACGAAAGCGUGGGGAGCAAACAGG
rnacentral:rRNA from 1 species